GUUGAGGGGAAUGCUGUCUGGUUCGAGACCAUUCAUUUGAAGCUCUUCUUGCUGCUAUAGCAGUUCAUCAGAAUGAUCUCGGACCAGGCUUCAUUCCCCCCAAC
rnacentral:pre_miRNA from 1 species